UACGGGGGGAGCAAGCGUUGUUCGGAUUUACUGGGCGUAAAGGGCGCGUAGGCGGCCAGCACAAGUCAGUUGUGAAAUCUCCGGGCUUAACUCGGAAAGGUCAACUGAUACUGUGCGGCUAGAGUGCAGAAGGGGCAACUGGAAUUCUCGGUGUAGCGGUGAAAUGCGUAGAUAUCGAGAGGAACACCUGCGGCGAAGGCGGGUUGCUGGGCUGACACUGACGCUGAGGCACGAAGGUCAGGGGAGCAAACGGG
rnacentral:rRNA from 1 species